rnacentral:rRNA from 1 species
AUUGAACGCUGGCGGCAUGCUUUACACAUGCAAGUCGAACGGUAACAGGUCUUCUGAUGCUGACGAGUGGCGAACGGGUGGGUAAUACAUCGGAACGUGCCUAGUAGUGGGGGAUAACUACUCGAAAGAGUAGCUAAUACCGCAUGAGAUCUACGGAUGAAAGCAGGGGACCUUCGGGCCUUGUGCUACUAGAGCGGCUGAUGGCAGAUUAGGUAGUUGGUGGGGUAAAGGCUGACCAAGCCUGCGAUCUGUAGCUGGUCUGAGAGGACGACCAGCCACACUGGGACUGGGCCACGGCCCAGAGUCCUACGGGAGGCAGCAGUGGGGAAUUGUGGACAAUGGGGGAAAGCCUGAUCCAGCAAGGCCGCGUGCAGGAUGAAGGCCCUCGGGUUGUAAACUGCUUUUGUACGGAUCGAAAAGCCUGGGGCUAAUAUCCCCGGUUCAUGACGGUACCGGAAGAAUAAGCACCGGCUAACUACGUG